rnacentral:rRNA from 1 species
GACGAACGCUGGCGGCGUGCUUAACACAUGCAAGUCGAACGGAAAGGCCCUGCUUUUGUGGGGUGCUCGAGUGGCGAACGGGUGAGUAACACGUGAGUAACCUGCCCUUGACUUUGGGAUAACUUCAGGAAACUGGGGCUAAUACCGGAUAGGAGCUCCUGCUGCAUGGUGGGGGUUGGAAAGUUUCGGCGGUUGGGGAUGGACUCGCGGCUUAUCAGCUUGUUGGUGGGGUAGUGGCUUACCAAGGCUUUGACGGGUAGCCGGCCUGAGAGGGUGACCGGCCACAUUGGGACUGAGAUACGGCCCAGACUCCUACGGGAGGCAGCAGUGGGGAAUAUUGCACAAUGGGCGGAAGCCUGAUGCAGCAACGCCGCGUGCGGGAUGACGGCCUUCGGGUUGUAAACCGCUUUCGCCUGUGACGAAGCGUGAGUGACGGUAAUGGGUAAAGAAGCACCGGCUAACUACGUGCCAGCAGCCGCGGUGAUACGUAGGGUGCGAGCGUUGUCCGGAUUUAUUGGGCGUAAAGGGCUCGUAGGUGGUUGAUCGCGUCGGAAGUGUAAUCUUGGGGCUUAACCCUGAGCGUGCUUUCGAUACGGGUUGACUUGAGGAAGGUAGGGGAGAAUGGAAUUCCUGGUGGAGCGGUGGAAUGCGCAGAUAUCAGGAGGAACACCAGUGGCGAAGGCGGUUCUCUGGGCCUUUCCUGACGCUGAGGAGCGAAAGCGUGGGGAGCGAACAGGCUUAGAUACCCUGGUAGUCCACGCUGUAAACGGUGGGUACUAGGUGUGGGGUCCAUUCCACGGGUUCCGUGCCGUAGCUAACGCUUUAAGUACCCCGCCUGGGGAGUACGGCCGCAAGGCUAAAACUCAAAGGAAUUGACGGGGCCCCGCCCAAGCGGCGGAGCAUGCGGAUUAAUUCGAUGCAACGCGUAGAACCUUACCUGGGUUUGACAUGGAUCGGGAGUGCUCAGAGAUGGGUGUGCCUCUUUUGGGGUCGGUUCACAGGUGGUGCAUGCCUGUCGUCAGCUCGUGUCGUGAGAUGUUGGGUUAAGUCCCGCAACGAGCGCAACCCUUGUUCACUGUUGCCAGCACGUUAUGGUGGGGACUCAGUGGAGACCGCCGGGGUCAACUCGGAGGAAGGUGGGGAUGACGUCAAGUCCUCAUGCCCCUUAUGUCCAGGGCUUCACGCAUGCUACAAUGGCUGGUACAGAGAGUGGCGAGCCUGUGAGGGUGAGCGAAUCUCGGAAAGCCGGUCUCAGUUCGGAUUGGGGUCUGCAACUCGACCUCAUGAAGUCGGAGUCGCUAGUAAUCGCAGAUCAGCAACGCUGCGGUGAAAAAGUUCCCGGGGCU